GAUUGUAGCAAUACGAUCUUAGUGGCGAACGGGUGAGUAACGCGUUGGUGACCUGCCCCAAAGAGAGGGAUAACAGUCCGAAAGGAUUGCUAAUACCUCAUACGGUUAUCGGGUUUAGAAGCUGGUAACUAAAGGCGUAAGCCACUUUGGGAGGGACCUGCGUCCCAUCAGCUAGUUGGUGAGGUAACGGCCCACCAAGGCGAUGACGGGUAGGGGACCUGAGAGGGUGGCCCCCCACAAUGGUACUGAAACACGGACCAUACACCUACGGGUGGCAGCAGUAGGGAAUAUUAGUUAAUGUGCGAAAGCGCGAACUAGCAACGCCGCGUGUGCGAUGAAGGCCUUCGGGUCGUAAAGCACUUUUCUAAGGGAUGAGGAAGGACAGUACCUUAGGAAUAAGCCUCGGCUAACUACGUGCCAGCAGCCGCGGUAAAACGUAGGAGGCAAGCGUUAUCCGGAUUUACUGGGCGUAAAGCGCGUGCAGGCGGUUUGGAAAGUUGGAUGUGAAAGCUCCUGGCUUAACUGGGAGAGGUCGUUCAAUACUACCAGACUUGAGGAUAGUAGAGGGAGAUGGAAUUCCGGGUGUAGUGGUGAAAUGCGUAGAUAUCCGGAGGAACACCAGUGGCGAAAGCGGUCUCCUGGACUACUUCUGACGCUCAGACGCGAAAGCUAGGGUAGCAAACGGGAUUAGAGACCCCGGUAGUCCUAGCUGUAAACGAUGUAGACUUGGCGUCGGUGGGUUUAAAUCCAUCGGUGUC
rnacentral:rRNA from 1 species